rnacentral:rRNA from 1 species
GUUGGGAAUCUUGCACAAUGGGCGAAAGCCUGAUGCAGCAAUCCCGCGUGAGUGAUGAAGGCCCUCGGGUCGUAAAGCUCUUUCAGUAGGGAAGAAGGGAAACUUGACGGUACCUACAGAAGAAGCACCGGCUAACUACGUGCCAGCAGCCGCGGUAAUACGUAGGGUGCAAGCGUUGUUCGGAUUCAUUGGGCGUAAAGAGCGUGUAGGCGGUUAUCUAAGUCUGAUGUGAAAGCCCGGGGCUCAACCCCGGAAGUGCAUUGGAUACUGGGUAGCUAGAGGAAUGGAGAGGGAAGUGGAAUUCCUGGUGUAGGGGUGAAAUCCGUAGAUAUCAGGAGGAACAUCCAUGGCGAAGGCGACUUCCUGGACAUUUUCUGACGCUGAGACGCGAAAGCGUGGGUAGCAAACAGG